GUCGAUAAACAUCAUUUUCAUACACUACACUACACUAUCAUACUAGACAGAUGUAUAGGCAAUGUCUAGUGAACUACGGUGACCUUUGGAGUAUUUGCGUCUAGUCGGAGUCCAAUGACUCGUCUGCAGCCUAGCGUCCUCACGAGAGGCCUCCAGGCGCGGCUGCGUGAAUGCAUAGUGGAGCUCGAGCUCCUCGAUCGUGCUGGCGGUCCGCGGUGUGUCUAACCAACCAUGCCCAUUUCACAGCAAAGAAUGGAUAUCAUGCUAGCUUCGUGCCGAUGGUUCAAGAUGGUUUUCUGGCUGAUAAAUUGGUUCGUAUAGAUUGUAAAGGAUUGCCAAAAAGUGAUUAUCGGAAGAUUGGAGUCAAGCUCAGGGACAUUGUUCCUUGUAUUCUUGUGUCUUUUGACAAGGAGCUAUUGUUUGGUGGGGGAAAGACCAUGAUGAAAGCAUACAGGAUAAUGUGCACAAGGCAUUCCCUUCAGUUCUUCAAUUAGAGAGUGCAGCAUUGAAUAAUGAGAGUGUUGAACAGGAAGAAACAUCAAGUGAGAGUGCAUCAGGAGAGAAUGAGCAUGGUGGAAAAGAAGAAACAUCAAGUGACUGUUCUUCUGAUGAGUGGUCUGAGAUCAGUAGCUCUGAGGACGCAUAUCACACGAUUGAUGAACUGCCGCCUGGUGUUCACAAAAUUGGCAUGUACUAGUCACAACCAAAAUCAGUAGCCCUGUUUCUGUCAUUUGAAACUCUCCAUGGCUAUUUUUGGUGACUGUACAAGUUUGUUUAUUUCCAUAGGUUAGCCAUAUAGUUGAGAUUCAAAUUAAGCAAUUGUAGCUUGAGGGUCCAACAGUCAGUACUCAGUGAAUCAGAGUGCCUUUUCUUAUCUUAUUAUACUGAUCGCUAGUAGAAUGAACACAGUGAAACAUUGAAUACUAUACAAAUGCCAUUUGACUUCCUAGAGCAUCAUGCAAAUUCUAAAGAACAUCGAUUGAACAACGCUGUCUACAUUUUUCUUGCCUUUUGUUUUAUCCACCACUGCCUAUUGAAUUGACUGCCCAUCCUGGAGUGGAGGAUAGGGUCCAAGUUUGUAGCUUUGACAGGGCUGCAUCGGUUGGAGGCGAGGGAUCACAAGAGGCUGGCGCUUUAGCCUUCGCCUCACCAACAGUUACUAGUCAGCCACUCAGGAUCAAGCGCUUCGACCAAGUUCUCACCUUGGGUGGCGGCAGUGCGUCUCUUGCAUAUUUCCCGGAUGGACCAGUCAAGGCUGCAGACAGGCAAUCAAUCAGUCAACCGAAGGUGAGAUAUUGGAGGAAAACAAGCUGAUCGGUGACCAUGAUUAAUUGGCCAUCUGUUUGUUUUCCUCCAACUCUCACUUUCAGUGCCUGACAAGCACCUCUCCAGGAAAGAACUGGCUGAAACAGAACUAUCUAUUCAGAUGCUACCCUGCACUGGAGCUAUGGAGUUGCUGCUUGCUCUAGGGCUCUAGUCAAGUUUAUUUAUAGCCAGCCCACCUGGGAAGCAGCAGCAUGUAUUUUCUGUUGCAGCUGCAUGCCCAUUGUGCUGUGUCCUGAAUUCUGUUUAAAAGGUGAAAAGGCUUCAGGAUCUGUACCAUGUACUUACUCUGGUACCAGACUACCAGUGUAACUAACUGUCACAUGCAAACUGAUCAGGCUUCGGUUCACUCUCCAUGGUACUUUGGUCUCAGUUACAAAUGAUCUGAGGGUUAUUAGUAAGGAUUCGACUACGACUAACAUUGCAAUAAAAUGGAAGGAACAAUGAAUAA